ACACAUGCAAGUCGAACGGAGCACCCUUGAUUGAGGUUUCGGCCAAAUGAUAGGAAUGCUUAGUGGCGGACUGGUGAGUAACGCGUGAGGAACCUGCCUUUCAGAGGGGGACAACAGUUGGAAACGACUGCUAAUACCGCAUGACGCAUUUUGAUCGCAUGGUCGAAAUGCCAAAGAUUUAUCGCUGAAAGAUGGCCUCGCGUCUGAUUAGCUAGUUGGUGAGGUAACGGCCCACCAAGGCGACGAUCAGUAGCCGGACUGAGAGGUUGACCGGCCACAUUGGGACUGAGAUACGGCCCAGACUCCUACGGGAGGCAGCAGUGGGGAAUAUUGGGCAAUGGGCGCAAGCCUGACCCAGCAACGCCGCGUGAAGGAAGAAGGCUUUCGGGUUGUAAACUUCUUUUAAGUGGGAAGAGCAGAAGACGGUACCACUUGAAUAAGCCACGGCUAACUACGUGCCAGCAGCCGCGGUAAUACGUAGGUGGCAAGCGUUGUCCGGAUUUACUGGGUGUAAAGGGCGUGCAGCCGGGCAUGCAAGUCAGAUGUGAAAUCUCAGGGCUUAACCCUGAAACUGCAUUUGAAACUGUAUGUCUUGAGUGCCGGAGAGGUAAUCGGAAUUCCUUGUGUAGCGGUGAAAUGCGUAGAUAUAAGGAAGAACACCAGUGGCGAAGGCGGAUUACUGGACGGCAACUGACGGUGAGGCGCGAAAGUGUGGGGAGCAAACAGGAUUAGAUACCCUGG
rnacentral:rRNA from 1 species